AUUGAACGCUGGCGGCAUGCCUUACACAUGCAAGUCGAACGGCAGCGGGGACUUCGGUCCGCCGGCGAGUGGCGAACGGGUGAGUAAUGUAUCGGAACGUACCAUUGAGUGGGGGAUAACGUAGCGAAAGUUACGCUAAUACCGCAUAUUUUCUCCGGAGGAAAGCAGGGUACCGCAAGGCAUUGCGCUCUUUGAGCGGUCGAUAUCAGAUUAGCUAGUUGGUGAGGUAAAGGCGCACCAAGGCGACGAUCUGUAGCGAGUCUGAGAGGAUGAUCCGCCACACUGGAACUGAGACACGGUCCAGACUCCUACGGGAGGCAGCAGUGGGGAAUUUUGGACAAUGGGGGCAACCCUGAUCCGGCCAUGCCGCGUGAGUGAAGAAGGCCUUCGGGUUGUAAAGCUCUUUCGGCCGGGAAAAAAUCGCAUGGGCUAAUACCCUGUGUGGAUGAUGGUACCGGAAUAAGAAGCACCGGCUAACUACGUGCCAGCCGCCGCGGUAAAAC
rnacentral:rRNA from 1 species